AACGAACGCUGGCGGCAGGCCUAACACAUGCAAGUCGAGCGCGCCCUUCGGGGUGAGCGGCGGACGGGUGAGUAACGCGUGGGAACGUGCCCUUUUCUACGGAAUAGCCUCGGGAAACUGAGAUUAAUACCGUAUACGCCCUUUGGGGGAAAGAUUUAUCGGAAAAGGAUCGGCCCGCGUUGGAUUAGGUAGUUGGUGGGGUAAUGGCCUACCAAGCCGACGAUCCAUAGCUGGUUUGAGAGGAUGAUCAGCCACACUGGGACUGAGACACGGCCCAGACUCCUACGGGAGGCAGCAGUGGGGAAUCUUAGACAAUGGGGGCAACCCUGAUCUAGCCAUGCCGCGUGAGUGAUGAAGGCCUUAGGGUUGUAAAGCUCUUUCAGCUGGGAAGAUAAUGACGGUACCAGCAGAAGAAGCCCCGGCUAACUCCGUG
rnacentral:rRNA from 1 species